rnacentral:rRNA from 1 species
UCUAGACUCCUACGGGAGGCAGCAGUGGGGGAUAUUGCACAAUGGGGGGAACCCUGAUGCAGCGACGCCGCGUGGGUGAAGAAGCGCCUCGGCGCGUAAAGCCCUGUCAGCAGGGAAGAAAAUGACGGUACCUGAAGAAGAAGCCCCGGCUAACUACGUGCCAGCAGCCGCGGUAAUACGUAUGGUGCAAGCGUUAUCCGGAUUUACUGGGUGUAAAGGGAGCGCAGGCGGCACGGCAAGCCUGAUGUGAAAGCCCGCGGCCCAACCGCGGGACUGCAUUGGGAACUACCGGGCUGGAGUGCCGGAGAGGUAGGCGGAAUUCCUAGUGUAGCGGUGAAAUGCGUAGAUAUUAGGAGGAACACCAGUGGCGAAGGCGGCUUACUGGACAGUAACUGACGUUGAGGCUCGAAAGCGUGGGGAGCAAACAGGAUUAGAUACCCCAGUAGUA